UGAAGGCAUACUAUGGCAUUCUAUUUCUGACAAAGAAUAAGCUUCUCUUGUGUGCAGCCAUAAAAAGCUUAAUUACUUUCACAGGUACUGCAAUUUCCAGUGCACUAAGGACUGUCCAUUGAAAGUGCUUUUACUGCCUCUGUGUACUUGCCCUACAAACAAAGCCACAACAUGGAUACAGAAGGAGAAACACUUGGAAACACAAGCCAACACUUCCUAAGCAUCUCAGUCAUCCACUGGACUACACAAUUCCAAGCUUUUGACAGAAAUUAGAGAAAAGAAAGAUGUCCAGCAGAAAUUUGUGAGAGAACCAUAAACAGACUUUACAGGAAGGAAUGGAGAAAAAGUGCAACAAUUUUUUUUUACAAGUUUUUGGUUUCCCUGAAGAUAACACCUCCUAAUUUAAAAGGAACUGUGUUGUUUCUGGACCUAGUCCUCAUCAGAAAAGUGAGAAGAUUAUGAAGAUCACAGCUCAGAUCUAAAACCACUUUAGAGCAACUCCAGUAAGAAAUUAGAGAAAAGCAUGUAAUAUUAUGAUCAGAAUUAUAGAAGUGAUUUUUUAAUGUUCAUGAACUGGUGAAAAAUACCUUCCCACUCAGCCACAGUUGCAACAUAGAGCAUUACUGCAAAAUUAGCACCAAUCUUCACUGGACCGUUCAGUGUCACCAAGUAUUCAUCAGAUAUGAAUUACACUCUGAACAAAUUGCCUGAAGGAACAGAUACAGGGAUUUUCAUGUUCUAAACGUGCUUUCCUAUUAGUAUCAAAAUAGUCCAUUGGAGGAUAUCUCAACCCCUGAAGACAUGCAAUGAACAGAAAUGCUACAAUACUCAACCAUUAUUCCAAAGUACAGUCUUUAAAAAUGAAAGAUAAUAUACAGUAGGCUUGACUCCCUAUUCCCUUAGAUUCCAUUAUAAUCACCCUUAUGAUGAGCCACACCUCAUUAUAAUAACAGCCAAAUUGCUUGGGUCCCAAGGGCAGACUAACAGUCAGGGUGGAUUGUACUUAUACUCAAAAUAACCAAGAAUAAUCAAGAUGAGCCUCUCAGUUUGACAAUGAAUGACCACUUUUGCAUAACUAAUGCUGU